rnacentral:rRNA from 1 species
GAUGAACGCUGGCGGCGUGCCUAAUACAUGCAAGUCGAGCGAAAAACCGGGGGGUUGCUUCUCCUGCGUUUGCGGCCGACCGGGUGGGUAAACGGUGGUAACCCUCCCUUUAGGACUGGAUAAAUUUGGGGAACCGGAACUAAUAACGGGUAAAUAAUUUAAACGGCAUGGUUCAUUAUUAAAGAAGGGUUUGCUUUCACCUUUAGAUUGAUCCGCGCCGCAUUGAGUAGUUUGGAAGGUAACGGCUUACCAAGGCGACGAUGCGUAGCCGACCUGAGAGGGUGAUCGGCCACACUGGAACUGAGACACGGUCCAGACUCCUACGGGAGGCGGCAGUAGGGAAUCUUCCGCAAUGGGCGAAAGCCUGACGGAGCAACGCCGCGUGAGUGAUGAAGGUCUUCGGAUCGUAAAACUCUGUUAUUAGGGAAGAACAAAUGUGUAAGUAACUAUGCACGUCUUGACGGUACCUAAUCAGAAAGCCACGGCUAACUACGUG